rnacentral:rRNA from 1 species
UACGAGGGGGGCGAGCGUUGUUCGGAAUUAUUGGGCGUAAAGGGUGCGUAGGCGGCCUGACAAGUCUGAUGUGAAAUCCCUGGGCUCAACCCAGGGCCUGCAUCGGAAACUGUCGGGCUUGAGUAUGGGAGAGGUGAGUGGAAUUUCCGGUGUAGCGGUGAAAUGCGUAGAUAUCGGAAGGAACACCUGUGGCGAAGGCGGUUCUCUGGGCCUGUACUGACGCUGAGGAGCGAAAGCGUGGGGAGCGAACAGG